GCCAAUAUCCGAGUAUAUUUUUGAAGUUAUCGUCAAUUUGGUAACUUUGAUCCUUUUCAAAUUUUUUGUGCUUCUUUUGAACUUAGUUUUUAAGAAGUGUGAAAAAUUUGAAUUAAGAUCAACAGUUUAUUCAUUAGUUAUUGAGGUUUAAAUCUGUUAUAAGAAUUAUUAAGGUUUGGUUUAGGGUUUGGUUAGGGUUUGGUUUAGAGUUUAGGAUUUGAAUUAGAGUUCGAUUUAGGAUUUAGGAUUUGGUUAGGAGUUGAUUUAGAAUUUAGGAUUUAGAUUAGGUUUGAUUUAGGAUUAGGAUUUGGUUUAAGAUUUGGUUAGGAUUUUAUUUAGGAUUUAGGAUUUAAUUAGGAUUUGAUUUAGAGUUUAGUUAGGGUUUGGUUUAGGAUUUAGGGUUUGUAUUGGGAUUUGGUUUAAGGUUUAUUUAGGAUUUGAUUUAAGAUUUGAUUUAGGAUUUGGUUAGGAUUUUAUUUAGGAUUUGGUUAGGAUUUUAUUUAGGAUUUGGAUUAGGGUUUGAUUUAGGAUUAGGAUUUGGAUUAAGAUUUGGUUAGGAUUUGAUUUAGGAUUUAGGAUUUGAUUUAGGAUUUGGUUAGGAUUUGGUUAGGGUUUGGUUUAAGGUUUCUUUAGGGUUUGAUUUAGGGUUUAGGAUUUUAUUAGAAUUUAAGAUUUAAUUAGAUUUGGCCUAAAGUUUGAUUGAAGUUCAAUAGGAUUUUAACUAGAAUUAAAUUAAGAUUGAAUUGAGAUGUAUUUGAGUGAUAUUUGUGAUCCUUCUAA
rnacentral:lncRNA from 1 species